rnacentral:rRNA from 1 species
CCUACGGGAGGCAGCAGUGAGGAAUAUUGGUCAAUGGACGAGAGUCUGAACCAGCCAAGUCGCGUGAAGGAUGACUGCCCUAUGGGUUGUAAACUUCUUUUAUAUGGGAAUAAAAUGUUCCACGUGUGGGAUUUUGUAUGUACCAUAUGAAUAAGGAUCGGCUAACUCCGUGCCAGCAGCCGCGGUAAUACGGAGGAUCCGAGCGUUAUCCGGAUUUAUUGGGUUUAACGGGAGCGUAGGUGGAUUGUUAAGUCAGUUGUGAAAGUUUGCUGCUCAACCGUAAAAUUGCAGUUGAAACUGGCAGGCUUGAGUACAGUAGAGGUGGGCGGAAGUCGUGGUGUAGCGGUGAAAUGCUUAGAUAUCACGAAGAACUCCGAUUGCGAAGGCAGCUCACUGGACUGCAACUGACACUGAGGCUCGAAAGUGUGGGUAUCAAACAGGAUUAGAUACCCCGGUAGUC